rnacentral:ribozyme from 1 species
UGCCCAGCAACUCCUAUCCCUAACCCCUCGUGGUACUGGCAGGGGUCGAGUAACCUUGGGGAAGAUCGGGUAACCAACCCCCGCUGGGAACUUUGGUCGUAUGCUGAUAAGGAAGG